rnacentral:rRNA from 1 species
GAUGAACGCUGGCGGCGUGCCUAAUACAUGCAAGUCGAGCGAAUGGAUUAAGAGCUUGCUCUUAUGAAGUUAGCGGCGGACAGGUGAGUAACACGUGGGUAACCUGCCCAUAAGACUGGGAUAACUCCGGGAAACCGGGGCUAAUACCGGAUAACAUUUUGAACCGCAUGGUUCGAAAUUGAAAGGCGGCUUCGGCUGUCACUUAUGGAUGGACCCGCGUCGCAUUAGCUAGUUGGUGAGGUAACGGCUCACCAAGGCAACGAUGCGUAGCCGACCUGGGAGGGUGAUCGGCCACACUGGGACUGAGACACGGCCCAGACUCCUACGGGAGGCAGCAGUAGGGAAUCUUCCGCAAUGGACGAAAGUCUGACGGAGCAACGCCGCGUGAGUGAUGAAGGCUUUCGGGUCAUAAAACUCUGUUGUUAGGGAAGAACAAGUGCUAGUUGAAUAAGCUGGCACCUUGACGGUACCUAACCAGAAAGCCACGGCUAACUACGUGCCAGCAGCCGCAGUA